UUAGGACUUCAAGGAAGAAAUGUCUGGAUUCUGUCAGGGCAACAGGUGUCCAGAGAUUUUUGGGUUUCUCUGAGCCACCUUCAGCUGGGGUCUGUGAUACCAGGAACUGUUUUUGCCAAAAUUUUCAAGACAGGAGCUAAGCUUUGACAUUUGCAGAUCAAACUAAACUAGCAGGAUGUUUGGCAGUGGCCAUGGCAGCAACAAAGCUGUACGGGGCCUCGCAGCUGAGGUGCCACGCACCGGCACUAGGGACAAAGUGGGUCCCUGGGCCAUGACUGCACCUGGCUCUCACCAGAGAGACAACAGAGCUGAGGCUUUCGCUCACGUGCAGAAGGCAAAGGGAGGCUGCUGAUUAUUUAAAGGAAGUCAGGGUUUGACAUCUAUCUGUUCCCCCAUCCUGCCCUUGCAAUUCUCUUUUCCCAUUGCAAGCUGUCGGAUGGAGACGGGAUUCGGGACCAGGCCUGGUGUGUAUGAGCGGGAUACAGCUGCACCUCAGCUCCUGCAUGGACAUUCCCAAGCACUCCCUCACAACUGGCUGCAUUUCCUGGGCCAUGUGUUGGAGCAGAUGCAAGCUUCUUGCACAAGAAGGUGCAGACCUGGCUGGAUUUAUACCUUUGUGGGAGCAGAGGCACUGGCUGCUGCCAAUGGCUCUCAGCGAGGAGCACUUCAGGCAAGUCCCAUCUGUGUCCCUGUUCAAUGUCAUGAUCUAGGAAUGCAGCUACUGCUCAGGCAGCUGGCCACAGCAACUGCAGAAAAGAACAGAGCACCUGGUCCGAUCCUCAUGGAGGGGAGUGGGGACCUCUGUACGGGCUUCCAGGACAGCUGUACCCUGACACACAAACAGCCCUGUGGCAGAUAUCAAAUGCUGUUGUUCCCUAGCAGUCUGCUGAUGUUAUCGCUCUUUCUUUGAGGAGUCAGAAACAACAAGAUCCUACAAUGACAAACCACAAUGUCUCUUGCGGUACAUAAAGACAGGUUCUUGUCGGUGGCUGCUGUCACUAAAUGCUGUUUAUGGCACUGCCUCAUGCAAAACACCACAACAGCCAGAAAC